AGAACUGUUAAUUGAUUACUUUAUUUCAUAUAAAAGUUACAUUGAAAGAAGAGGUUGAAAAGUCAAGUAUACUUGAUUUGCACACACUUGCCAAGUCUCACAGGAUUCAACCACUUGGAUAAUUGUUUUAUUGAUAACAGGAUAUACAUAUUAAAAGCCUCACACUGAAGCCCACACGCAUGUCCAACCCAGACAACAAUGUGCAAAUGAAUAUGCAGAACAAUCUCGGAAACUGGCGUCUCCAGGAUCACCCACACUUUGUCCCUCUGGCUGUGACGCAGCUCUUCCCCCAACGGCGCACACGCUUCUGCGGUGACCAAGUCCACUUCCAAACCCCCUGCAGGUUUGCUCGCUUGGCUAGGACGGUGGCUCAGGUAGGUCCCUUUGUGGUUUUGCAUCAGCAGUGGUAGAAGCCCUGAUUCGGAUGGGGUACAGAGUAAUUAAAAACAAAAAACAGUUCACAGAUGAACAGAAAGGCAAAACAAUUCCCAGGAGGGAGACGCCAACUUCUCUUAGUGUGGAGGGCAAGCAUAAAGGAAGACCCUCAGACUUUGUCACAGAUUGCUUCUUGAUGCGUCCGGCAAAAAAUGUACAAACCAGGCAAGUUUAAGGCAAGGAUGCCUCCCCUGCCCCACACACAGCAUCGGGCUGCCCCAAGUAUCAAGUCACCGAGCCGCAGCUCUGCUCUUACCUAGGUGCCAUUUAUACACUGCUAAUUUGGCUGGAACAAAAAAAAAAAAUCAGUUCCAAGGCCCUCAAGCACUCAAGAUUUCUUUAAAAAAUGAAAGCAGGAGGGCAACGAAGGGCCGCACAGGAACGGCUGUUCUUUGGAUCGAGAUGUCCUCCAACAGCAAUACAUUCAUAGUAACCACGGGCAGGACCCCGCGGCUCUCUCCCCUCUUCCCUGAAACGUCGGUUUCUAAAAAAUAGCUUGUUUGCUGUACACAGCCGGUAAAUGUUACAUUGCCUAAACAACACUGGCAAUUUUGACACACAUGCACACACGCGCGCACACGCACAGACACGCACACACACAGACUUGCUGAGAGGGUCAAAGGAUGUCUCUUCCGGGGCAGCGGGGAGUGUGCCGGAAGCCACCUUCACUGUUCAGUGCACAGAUCUUUUGCAACUUCAGUGCAAAGCAUCGGAGCUAAUCGAGACCAAAACGUCUUUCUAUGUAAACGCCCUGCUGUGAUCCGGGGAGUGCACUGCUGAGUGGCGGGGUCAGCAGGAGCCCCCUGAAAUGACUGCUUGGAGAAUCCCUGUUCACUGGAUUCACUGUUUUUCUUCAUGAUUGGAAACAGCAGCUCAGGACCCAGGAUUUGAAUAACCCAUGUAAUAACCCGAAGUAUUCUCCACAGAAGCCCCAGCUCUGCAGGAGGCCACGGCGUUUGGCUUCUUCGUGUGGCCACACACCUUUCCGUUGUUGUACAGGUGGGGACUGAGAGCCUCUUCCUCUGCCAUCUGUGACUAUAAAUAUAUAAAACUCUGCUUGCUGCAAGCAAUUGGUUUGUGUAGGUUCCAGUUGCCCUGUUGGUCACAGAUGAGCUGUUGAUAUCCUUCAGACCCCAAAUAAAUAACUGGAAGUCUGUGAGCAAGUUUCAGUCUGAUGAGCCACGCCUCACACUGAGAACUCCGGGCCACCUUUUCUGGGUCUCGUGGGCAGUCGCCUAAAUCGGAAGCCCACAAAGGGAUUCAUCCAGAGGAGUGAGGGGGGCCCCCCAAAGACGGACUUCAUCCCUUCCCAUCGCAGCCUCCGCUCCCAUGUGGGCU
rnacentral:lncRNA from 1 species